GAUGAACGCUGGCGGCGUGCUUAACACAUGCAAGUCGAACGAUGAACUUGGAGCUUGCUCUGGGGGAUUAGUGGCGAACGGGUGAGUAACACGUGAGUAACCUGCCCUGGACUCUGGGAUAACUUCGAGAAAUCGGAGCUAAUACCGGAUAGGACCUUGCACCGCAUGGUGUGGGGGGGAAAGUUUUUCGGUUUGGGAUGGACUCGCGGCCUAUCAGCUUGUUGGUGAGGUACUGGCUCACCAAGGCGUCGACGGGUAGCCGGCCUGAGAGGGUGACCGUGCACACUGGGACUGAGAGCCGGCCCAGACUCCUACGGGAGGCAGCAGUGGGGAAUAUUGCGAAAUGGGCGCAAGCCUGAUGCAGCAGCGCCGCGUGCGGGAUGACGGCCUUCGGGUUGUAAACCGCUUUUAGUAGGGAAGAAGCCUUCGGGUGACGGUACCUGCAGAAAAAGGACCGGCUAACUACGUGCCAGCCGCCGCCGUAACAC
rnacentral:rRNA from 1 species